UACUGUCUCUGUUUUUUGUUUUCCUGUACUUCUUAAUUUUUUACAACCUUUUUCUGUUUACACAUACUUUAUUUUAUGGAUGUUUUCAUCCAAAAUAUCAUACAGUUGAGCUUAGCAGUGAAGUCACUCUACAAGAAUUGAAUCCGCGACCUCCAAAUUCUAACCAGAGAAUCCUAACCCACUGAGACACCCAGCAUACCAACUGAAAUCUGGGAGGACCAACAAACCACAGCCCUGAACAAACAGAUCUGAUCUUAGUGUGAAUACAGUCUUCAGUUCCACCAAGUGCCAAUGGCAGCAGCAUCGACAGAAGUGGGCGGCAGAACUACAGAGCGAGAGAGACCUCUUCACAUUCUCACUGUCAACGUUAAUGGGCUGAAAACAAAUGGCAAAGGACUCAUAGAAGAACUUGAAAAAUUAAAAUCUGAAAACAGGGAGGUUGAUGUUCUUUUCUUAACAGAGACUCGCAUUGGAGAUGCUGAUGCUUUGACAAAUUUUAAAACGAAUUGGGAAAUAUUCUUCACAUGCAAUGAUU